rnacentral:rRNA from 1 species
GAGAGCUUAGCAAUAAGCUUGAAAGUGGCGAACGGGUGAGUAACACGUAGGUAACCUGCCGCGCAGAGGGGGAUAACCACUGGAAACGGUGGCUAAUACCGCAUGGUACUAUCGAGAUGGGAAUCUUGAUGGUUAAAACCUGGUGUAAACCAGAUGCUGCGCGAGGGGUCUGCGUCCGAUUAGUUAGUUGGUGAGGUAACGGCUCACCAAGACGAUGAUCGGUAGCUAGUCUGAGAGGAUGAUUAGCCACACGGGAACUGAGACACGGUCCCGACUCCUACGGGGGGCAGCAGUGAGGAAUAUUGCACAAUGGACGCAAGUCUGAUGCAGCAACGCCGCGUGGAGGAUGACGGUCUUUGGAUUGUAAACUCCUUUUCUCAGGGAAGAGAAUGGACGGUACCUGAGGAAUAAGUCACGGCUAACUACGUGCCAGCAGCCGCGGUAAUACGUAGGUGGCGAGCGUUAUCCGGAAUUACUGGGCGUAAAGCGCACGCAGGCGGUUAGGCAAGUUCGACGUGAAAGCUCCCGGCUUAACUGGGAGAGGUCGUUGAAAACUGCUUAGCUUGAGGCAAUGAGAGGGGUGUAGAAUUCCCGGUGUAGUGGUGGAAUGCGUAGAUAUCGGGGGGAAUACCAGUGGCGAAAGCGGCACCCUAGCGUUGUUCUGACGCUCAUGUGCGAAAGCGUGGGGAGCGAACGGGAUUAGAUACCCCGGUAGUCCACGCCGUAAACGAUGAACACUA